rnacentral:rRNA from 1 species
CCUACGGGGGGCAGCAGUGAGGAAUAUUGGUCAAUGGACGAGAGUCUGAACCAGCCAAGUAGCGUGAAGGAUGACGGCCCUAUGGGUUGUAAACUUCUUUUAUAAAGGAAUAAAACGAGGCAAGUGUGCCUUUUUGCAUGUACUUUAUGAAUAAGGAUCGGCUAACUCCGUGCCAGCAGCCGCGGUAAUACGGAGGAUCCGAGCGUUAUCCGGAUUUAUUGGGUUUAAAGGGAGCGUAGAUGGGUUGUUAAGUCAGUGGUGAAAGUUUGCGGCUCAACCGUAAAAUUGCAAUUGAUACUGGCAGUCGUGAGUACAGUUGAGGUAGGCGGAAUUCGUGGUGUAGCGGUGAAAUGCUUAGAUAUCACGAAGAACCCCGAUGGCGAAGGCAGCUUACUAAACUUUGACUGACAUUGAUGCUCGAAAGUGUGGGUAUCAAACAGGAUUAGAUACCCUUGUAGUC